rnacentral:rRNA from 1 species
GGGUUGUGAGGUUAAGCGACUAAGCGUACACGGUGGAUGCCCUGGCAGUCAGAGGCGAUGAAGGACGUGCUAAUCUGCGAUAAGCGUCGGUAAGGUGAUAUGAACCGUUAUAACCGGCGAUUUCCGAAUGGGGAAACCCAGUGUGUUUCGACACACUAUCAUUAACUGAAUCCAUAGGUUAAUGAGGCGAACCGGGGGAACUGAAACAUCUAAGUACCCCGAGGAAAAGAAAUCAACCGAGAUUCCCCCAGUAGCGGCGAGCGAACGGGGAGCAGCCCAGAGUCUGAAUCAGUGUGUGUGUUAGUGGAAGCGUCUGGAAAGGCGCGCGAUACAGGGUGACAGCCCCGUACACAAAAAUGCACAUAUUGUGAGCUCGAUGAGUAGGGCGGGACACGUGGUAUCCUGUCUGAAUAUGGGGGGACCAUCCUCCAAGGCUAAAUACUCCUGACUGACCGAUAGUGAACCAGUACCGUGAGGGAAAGGCGAAAAGAACCCCGGCGAGGGGAGUGAAAAAGAACCUGAAACCGUGUACGUACAAGCAGUGGGAGCACGCUUAGGCGUGUGACUGCGUACCUUUUGUAUAAUGGGUCAGCGACUUAUAUUCUGUAGCAAGGUUAACCGAAUAGGGGAGCCGAAGGGAAACCGAGUCUUAACUGGGCGUUAAGUUGCAGGGUAUAGACCCGAAACCCGGUGAUCUAGCCAUGGGCAGGUUGAAGGUUGGGUAACACUAACUGGAGGACCGAACCGACUAAUGUUGAAAAAUUAGCGGAUGACUUGUGGCUGGGGGUGAAAGGCCAAUCAAACCGGGAGAUAGCUGGUUCUCCCCGAAAGCUAUUUAGGUAGCGCCUCGUGAACUCAUCUCCGGGGGUAGAGCACUGUUUCGGCAAGGGGGUCAUCCCGACUUACCAACCCGAUGCAAACUGCGAAUACCGGAGAAUGUUAUCACGGGAGACACACGGCGGGUGCUAACGUCCGUCGUGAAGAGGGAAACAACCCAGACCGCCAGCUAAGGUCCCAAAGUCAUGGUUAAGUGGGAAACGAUGUGGGAAGGCCCAGACAGCCAGGAUGUUGGCUUAGAAGCAGCCAUCAUUUAAAGAAAGCGUAAUAGCUCACUGGUCGAGUCGGCCUGCGCGGAAGAUGUAACGGGGCUAAACCAUGCACCGAAGCUGCGGCAGCGACGCUUAUGCGUUGUUGGGUAGGGGAGCGUUCUGUAAGCCUGUGAAGGUGUGCUGUGAGGCAUGCUGGAGGUAUCAGAAGUGCGAAUGCUGACAUAAGUAACGAUAAAGCGGGUGAAAAGCCCGCUCGCCGGAAGACCAAGGGUUCCUGUCCAACGUUAAUCGGGGCAGGGUGAGUCGACCCCUAAGGCGAGGCCGAAAGGCGUAGUCGAUGGGAAACAGGUUAAUAUUCCUGUACUUGGUGUUACUGCGAAGGGGGGACGGAGAAGGCUAUGUUGGCCGGGCGACGGUUGUCCCGGUUUAAGCGUGUAGGCUGGUUUUCCAGGCAAAUCCGGAAAAUCAAGGCUGAGGCGUGAUGACGAGGCACUACGGUGCUGAAGCAACAAAUGCCCUGCUUCCAGGAAAAGCCUCUAAGCAUCAGGUAACAUCAAAUCGUACCCCAAACCGACACAGGUGGUCAGGUAGAGAAUACCAAGGCGCUUGAGAGAACUCGGGUGAAGGAACUAGGCAAAAUGGUGCCGUAACUUCGGGAGAAGGCACGCUGAUAUGUAGGUGAAGUCCCUUGCGGAUGGAGCUGAAAUCAGUCGAAGAUACCAGCUGGCUGCAACUGUUUAUUAAAAACACAGCACUGUGCAAACACGAAAGUGGACGUAUACGGUGUGACGCCUGCCCGGUGCCGGAAGGUUAAUUGAUGGGGUCAGCGCAAGCGAAGCUCUUGAUCGAAGCCCCGGUAAACGGCGGCCGUAACUAUAACGGUCCUAAGGUAGCGAAAUUCCUUGUCGGGUAAGUUCCGACCUGCACGAAUGGCGUAAUGAUGGCCAGGCUGUCUCCACCCGAGACUCAGUGAAAUUGAACUCGCUGUGAAGAUGCAGUGUACCCGCGGCAAGACGGAAAGACCCCGUGAACCUUUACUAUAGCUUGACACUGAACAUUGAGCCUUGAUGUGUAGGAUAGGUGGGAGGCUUAGAAGUGUGGACGCCAGUCUGCAUGGAGCCGACCUUGAAAUACCACCCUUUAAUGUUUGAUGUUCUAACGUUGACCCGUAAUCCGGGUUGCGGACAGUGUCUGGUGGGUAGUUUGACUGGGGCGGUCUCCUCCUAAAGAGUAACGGAGGAGCACGAAGGUUGGCUAAUCCUGGUCGGACAUCAGGAGGUUAGUGCAAUGGCAUAAGCCAGCUUGACUGCGAGCGUGACGGCGCGAGCAGGUGCGAAAGCAGGUCAUAGUGAUCCGGUGGUUCUGAAUGGAAGGGCCAUCGCUCAACGGAUAAAAGGUACUCCGGGGAUAACAGGCUGAUACCGCCCAAGAGUUCAUAUCGACGGCGGUGUUUGGCACCUCGAUGUCGGCUCAUCACAUCCUGGGGCUGAAGUAGGUCCCAAGGGUAUGGCUGUUCGCCAUUUAAAGUGGUACGCGAGCUGGGUUUAGAACGUCGUGAGACAGUUCGGUCCCUAUCUGCCGUGGGCGCUGGAGAACUGAGGGGGGCUGCUCCUAGUACGAGAGGACCGGAGUGGACGCAUCACUGGUGUUCGGGUUGUCAUGCCAAUGGCACUGCCCGGUAGCUAAAUGCGGAAGAGAUAAGUGCUGAAAGCAUCUAAGCACGAAACUUGCCCCGAGAUGAGUUCUCCCUGACUCCUUGAGAGUCCUGAAGGAACGUUGAAGACGACGACGUUGAUAGGCCGGGUGUGUAAGCGCAGCGAUGCGUUGAGCUAACCGGUACUAAUGAACCGUGAGGCUUAACCUUACAACGCCGAAG